rnacentral:tRNA from 1 species
GAGGGUAUAGCUCAGGUGGUAGAGUGCAUGCUUAGCAUGCAUGAGGUCCUGGGUCCAGCCCCCAGCACUCCCC